UACGUAGUGUGCAAGCGUUAAUCGGAAUUACUGGGCGUAAAGCGUGCGCAGGCGGUUGUGCAAGACAGAUGUGAAAUCCCCGGGCUCAACCUGGGAACUGCAUUUGUGACUGCACGGCUGGAGUGCGGCAGAGGGGGAUGGAAUUCCGCGUGUAGCAGUGAAAUGCGUAGAUAUGCGGAGGAACACCGAUGGCGAAGGCAAUCCCCUGGGCCUGCACUGACGCUCAUGCACGAAAGCGUGGGGAGCAAACAGG
rnacentral:rRNA from 1 species